AAAAUUAUUUUGGGUAAUUUUGCAUCGUUCGUUUUGACGAUCACAUUCGUAUGCAAAGCUCUCCUUCGCUUGACCUUUCACGGGUUUUUACACAGAGUUUUUGUUUACAUUCUUCUCCACUUUACACUGUUAAUUACUUAAUACUAAUUACCAGCAGCGAUCGAACAGGUUCUCGUGAUACGUUCCCAGAGACGUAAACCAGCAGCAUGGGGAAUUCAAAACGAUUAACACACAAUUCGUUGGAAUCACUGUUGCUUUAAGCGAAGUUGGUUGACCGGUGCGACGACCUCCACGCACAGCCCGCGACGAGCUAUUACUGGCGGGACUCAUCUUCGAAAUUCUACCCAGAACCUUCAACACAAUGAGAUCAGCUGCACCCCGGGAACGGUUUUGAAUUUGAAACUAUGCUCACAACCACCGUAUCACAAUUAUCAAAUUUACACUACUCUAUUUGUCUCGGACAUCAGAGUUAAUGAUACGCGGAAGGGAAGAGCAGCCCUCGCGAUAAGUAUCAACUUGGCGUCCACCGCCAAAGGCGAAUGAACCACAAAUGCUUGAAGCUAAUCAGCAGCGAUCUUGCCGAUAUGUUUGUAUGUGUACUUGUCUCGUUUGCACUUUGCUGCUGGACGUCUAAUGCGCGCGAUCUUGGAGUAACAUCCGACGACGACGAUUACCGAUGAUGAAUUCUAACCCGCCCCCUCCCUGCGGACAAGUCCACACUCACAGGACAGACCACUACACACUCCACUCUGUGCUGUGCGUGUGUAGGAAUAAUCCACCACGCUUUACGCUACCAGCAGUUCGGACUCCGAGACGCUGCCCACUGAUCAGUUCGAGACGACAAUUCGAACUGGCGUGCUCGGCCCGACCGGAGACGCUACUUGUAUGCAAAGGCCUCGGCCAGUUCGUGAGGCUUUGCCACCAUACCCAUCCGCGAUCCGCAUAUCGCACCCGCACGCGGCCCGCACGCAUUAUUGCGAUUAUCGUCUCGUCGCUUUUCGUACCGGCGGGGAGGAAGGUGGUGUGUUUGAUGAUACAGUAGAAGCCCCCGAGGGUAGAUAUCGAGCGGUGGUAGGUUUUGUUCUCACACGCAAAAAAGGUUCUAUUAACGUGAUAUGUUCCAGGAGUUUGUGUAAUUUAAAUUUAAAAUUGUUGUGAUAGCAGUUUAUAGUAUUUUAGAUCACGAAUGACUAUCUCUUUUUACCCAAAAAUUGUGUGAAUGAUUAAAAAAUAAAUAAUGUUGUUUUAUAGUUA